AUUGAACGCUGGCGGCAGGCCUAACACAUGCAAGUCGAACGAGUGGCGGACGGGUGAGUAAUGUGUGGGAAACUGCCUGAUGGAGGGGGAUCACUACUGGAAACGGUAACUAAUAACGCAUACCAUCGGAUGUGCCCAGAUGGGAUGCGCUAGUAGGUGGGGUAAAGGCUCACCUAGGCGAAGAUCCAUAGCUGGUCUGAUGGGAUGACCAGCCACACUGGAACUGAGAAACGGUCCAGACUCCUACGGGAGGCAGCAGUGGGGAAUAUUGCACAAGGGGCGCAAGCCUGAUGCAGCCAUGCCGCGUGUAUGAAGAAGGCCUUCGGGUUGUAAAGUACUUUCAGCGGGGAGGCGUUACCCGCAGAAGAAGCACCGGCUAACUCCGUGCCAGCAGCCGCGGUAAUAC
rnacentral:rRNA from 1 species